AUGUCCUUGGCAUAGCGGCUCUGGACGUUCGCCGGCUCCUGGCCGCCGACGAGGAAGCCGGUGGACUCGGCGGUGUUGGCGUCGGCGAGGGAACG
rnacentral:tRNA from 1 species